rnacentral:rRNA from 1 species
AGUGAACGCUGGCGGUAGGCCUAACGCAUGCAAGUCGAACGGCAGCACAGUAAGAGCUUGCUCUUACGGGUGGCGAGUGGCGGACGGGUGAGGAAUACAUCGGAAUCUACUUUUUCGUGGGGGAUAACGUAGGGAAACUUACGCUAAUACCGCAUACGACCUACGGGUGAAAGCAGGGGAUCUUCGGACCUUGCGCGAUUGAAUGAGCCGAGGUCGGAUUAGCUAGUUGGCGGGGUAAAGGCCCACCAAGGCGACGAUCCGUAGCUGGUCUGAGAGGAUGAUCAGCCACACUGGAACUGAGACACGGUCCAGACUCCUACGGGAGGCAGCAGUGGGGAAUAUUGGACAAUGGGCGCAAGCCUGAUCCAGCCAUACCGCGUGGGUGAAGAAGGCCUUCGGGUUGUAAAGCCCUUUUGUUGGGAAAGAAAAGCAGCAGGUUAAUACCCCGCUGUUCUGACGGUACCCAAAGAAUAAGCACCGGCUAGCUUCGUG